AUCGCUUAGCGGCCUCUUGGCUAAGAUCAAGUGCAG
rnacentral:snRNA from 1 species